rnacentral:lncRNA from 1 species
CCCAGGCGCCUUGGGGAGCGCCCCGCUGCCGUCCCUGCCCAGCCCCCACAGCAGGAGCGUGGACAAGGGCCAGCCAGCCAGCACUCUCGGGUGUGCAGUGUAGACACGGGUGGCUCCGCGUCACCCAGCCCUGGCAGCACCUCGGGCGGGGCACACUCUGCACUGACGCCCUGCUCACUUUGCUGUCGGGUUUCACAAGGAGCCCAACAGCGGCUCAGCAGCAGAGCCCCCCUGGCCAGCAGCAGGUGGCCCUGCCCCGGCCAGCCGCUCCUCACCGCCCCGUGUGCCAGGCUCUGUCCACUGCUUUGCCUGCAGCCCGGGAUUGCACCCUGUGCUGACAACGAGUGUUUCUCAAAGGAGGAAGGGGCCGGGCCCAGGGGCUGCAUCUGGGAGUGACACGGGCCAAUCCUAGAGGUCGCCAGGACUCAGUGAGGGCACCGUGUGAGCCCCAGAGGACUUUGCGGACGGGGAAAGGUGUCCUUGCUGAGGGACGAGGCAGAGAACUUGGCACGGGGUGGGAGAGCACAGGCUCAGCCCUGGGGCGGGCUCUAAGCCAGAGACGACUCAGUGUGGGUGCAGCAGGUGGACAUCAGUGUGAGGGGAGCUGGUGCACACUCAGUGUGGGUGGGGCUGGUGCACAUCAGUGUGUGUGGAGUUGGUGCACACUCAGUGUGGGAGGGGCUGGUGCACACUCAGUGUGGGAGGAGCUGACUGCAUACUCAGUGUGGGAGGGGCUGGUGCACACUCAGUGUGGGAGGGGCUGGUGCACACUCAGUGUGGGAGGGGCUGGUGCACAUCAGUGUGGGUGAGGCUGGUGCACAUCAGUGUGGGAGGAGCUGGUGCACACUCAGUGUGGGUGGAACUGGUGCACACUCUGUGUGGGUGGGGCUGGUGCACACUCAAUGUGGGUGGAGCUGGUGCACACUCAGUGUGGGAGGAGCUGGUGCACACUGAGUGUGGGAGGAGCUGGUGCACACUCAGUGUGAGGGGAGCUGGUGCACACUCGGUGUGGGGGGAGAUGGUGCACACUCAGUGUGGGAGGAGCUGGUGCACACUGAGUGUGGGAGGAGCUGGUGCACACUCAGUGUGGGUGGGGCUGGUGCACAUCAGUGUGGGUGGGGCUGGUGCACACUCAGUGCUGCACCAGUGCCCCAAGCCCCUCCCAGACGCCUUCAUUUCAUUACAGUGUAUCUCUGGAGGAGCCGCGGGUCACCUCCUGUCACUCAGUCUCUUUCCAAAGCAGCAGGGUCCCAGCGGAACCUGGCCCACAGGAGCCCCUGGUCCCUGGGGAGCGGAGUGAGGGUGCAGGGCAGAAGCCAAGGGCGCUCCUCAGCCGCACUCACAGACGCACACCACACACAGGGACACACAGACACGCCAGAGACACACGCCUCUGCACAAGGACACACACAGACAUACACACAUGGAAACACAACACACGUAUGGGUAAACACAGAUAAAACAGACGUAGAUGCACACAGACUCACAUGAAACAGACACCUAUGGACACACAAACACCCACACAGACACACAAGGACACACACCCAUAGGGACAACCACAGACACACACAGCGAUAGACACCCAGACACACACGCACGCACACGCACACGAGGGUACUUCAAAGAGUCCAUGGGAAAAGGGAAGGAAAAGAUAAGUGAAUUUUGGUGCAGAAAGCUCGAAAUGCAUGCCCAGUUUUUCCAUAACACACACUUUCCAUGACGUCUCAGAAUCCCCAUGUACGGAGGGCGCCCGACAUUUCUGGCACCAAAAUAAACUUGCCGUUCCAUUCCA